rnacentral:rRNA from 1 species
AGUGAACGCUGGCGGUAGGCCUAACACAUGCCAGUCGAACGGCAGCACAGUAAGAGCUUGCUCUUACGGGUGGCGAGUGGCGGACGGGUGAGGAAUACAUCGGAAUCUACUUUUUCGUGGGGGAUAACGUAGGGAAACUUACGCUAAUACCGCAUACGACCUACGGGUGAAAGCAGGGGAUCUUCGGACCUUGCGCGAUUGAAUGAGCCGAUGUCGGAUUAGCUAGUUGGCGGGGUAAAGGCCCACCAAGGCGACGAUCCGUAGCUGGUCUGAGAGGAUGAUCAGCCACACUGGAACGGAGACACGGUCCAGACUCCUACGGGAGGCAGCAGUGGGGAAUAUUGGACAAUGGGCGCAAGCCUGAUCCAGCCAUACCGCGUGGGUGAAGAAGGCCUUCGGGUUGUAAAGCCCUUUUGUUGGGAAAGAAAAGCAGCAGGUUAAUACCCCGCUGUUCUGACGGUACCCAAAGAAUAAGCACCGGCUAACUUCGU